GAUGGAUUCAUUACCGGCAUAACUACAAACAGCAACAAAACAAUAAUCUUUAACCUAUUUCACAAGGGAGAAAAAUAAAAAAAAAAAUCAAUUUCUCAUAAAUCGAAUAGAGAAAAAAAUUAUGGAUUCAUCAAUUUUGAAAUUCGAUUAAUGAUAAAAACCCAUAGAGAUUUGGAUCAAAGCAGGUAGAUUUUUUGUCGAGGAAAAAUUUGGGAUUUUGGUUGCUCCUCGAAGCUUCUCGAUCAUAGAGGACGAAACGCAAAUAAAUAGUUUAUAAGAAGAACAAAAAAGAUGAGGAACGUGAAUCGCACCUGAAGACUAAAACGCAAAAAGAC